GUUAGGGGAAGCACACUGACUGAAACGUCCACCCUGGCCAGGCACCAUAGUAACCAUUUGCAUGAGUUGUUUUAUGACAGGAGGUCCUGGUAAGGAACACAGACCUAAUAAGCCACCACCAACCAACCGGAAGAGUUCAGGAAAGGUCAAAAGGAGACACCACAUGUCUGACCACCUCCCAGAAUCCUUCUCUCUGGCAUCCAUUUGGCUGAACAAGAUGAGGACACUGAGGCACAGAGAGGUUCUAUAAUCUGCGCAAGGCCACACAGCCCAUGAGAGGCAGAGCUUAGCUCUGUUCUUACCCUUUGCACUCCGGUGCUCUCAGUGGUGGUGGUUUUAUUUGCUGUUAUCUGUACCGACUCUAUGCCCUCGAAAAAUGUUCCUGUACACGCACCCGGAGGCUUUUGCAGGAGGCGGCUGUUGGAGAACUGGGAAAACAAGCCAAGAAACAAGAG
ensembl:lncRNA